rnacentral:lncRNA from 1 species
CCGCAACGGAACUUAAAGCUCCGCCCCUUCCAUGACGUCCACACGUUUGCGUUCUACGGCACCCCUGCAGGGGUCCGCUGCCCCAUCUUUUGCAGGCGAGGCCCCAGCUGGGAAGGUGGUCUCUGGUUUUUGGUCCGUGGGGACGGGCGCCAGCCACCGGCCUCCCGUCCGUCUGUAGACGGCAGGCUCUGGGAAGGAGAAAGGCAGGUGCAGAGCGAAGGAGCUGGUCCCUGAACAGAGACAGCGACGCCACCCGAGACCCGUUGGAGCCAGGGAGCACAGAGCAGCGGACAGCAGCUGUGAGGGUCAGGCUGUUGUGUCAACUCGGCCAGACGGGGAGGCCGGUGUCCGCCAACCGACGAGCAGACCGGCCGCCUGUGUGCAGUCACAGGGCGGAAUCUUAGGCGGCCGCGAGAAGAAACGACGUCGUGACGCACGGCAGCGCGGGCCAACCUGCAGGACCCGGUGUUGAGCGAAGCGAGCCAGGCGCAAAAGGGCAAUACUCUAUGACUGCGCUGCUACGAACCAGACGCGUCGUGGGACUCCUGGAGUUUCUAACCUGAAUAUGGGUCACCAGAAAAGAGAAUGACAGUAGAGGGUGGAAAGCUGAGGGCUAUACAUAGAAAAGGUGAAAGCGUAUCUUAGUGUUUGCAACUAGCAGAGCUGUUGUAUGGGUAAGACAGUGGUGGAAAGGAAAGUCCAAGGGCAUGUGUAUUACUAGAAGGAAAGCCAAAAACUUUUGGGGGAUUGUAGAGCAUAGUAAAAUCCCACGGGUAAUAGUGCAUAUGGAAGACCGUUUUUCUUUGAAACUGAACAGAUGUAUAUUAAUGUUUUAAGAUGUUGAUAUCAGGCAAAAGAAAAGCCAUUAUGCCAAGAGAAAGAAACAAGAGACAAAGUGCAACAUAUUGUCUGAUUCCAUUUAUAUAAAAUGUAAAUAUAAAUCAGUGUAUCAAGAUGGAAUUAGGCUCGGGGUUCUGUAGGGCUGGGAGGUGGAGGCAUGGAGAAGUGGCUGCUAAGGUGUGAGGGGGUUUUCUUUUUGGAGAAAUGAAAUUGUUUUAA